rnacentral:rRNA from 1 species
GACGAACGCUGGCGGCGUGCUUAACACAUGCAAGUCGAACGGUAAGGCUCCAGCUUGCUGGGGUACACGAGUGGCGAACGGGUGAGUAACACGUGGGUGACCUGCCCUGCACUUCGGGAUAAGCCUGGGAAACUGGUCUAAUACCGGAUAGGACCAUGGUGUGGCUACUGUGGUGGAAAGUUUUUUCGGUGUGGGAUGGGCCCGCGGCCUAUCAGCUUGUUGGUGGGGUAAUGGCCUACCAAGGCGGCGACGGGUAGCCGGCCUGAGAGGGUGGACGGCCACAUUGGGACUGAGACACGGCCCAGACUCCUACGGGAGGCAGCAGUGGGGAAUAUUGCACAAUGGGCGGAAGCCUGAUGCAGCGACGCCGCGUGGGGGAUGACGGCCUUCGGGUUGUAAACUCCUUUCACCAUCGACGAAGGGUUUCUGACGGUAGAUGGAGAAGAAGCACCGGCUAACUACGUG